rnacentral:lncRNA from 1 species
UUAUUGAGGGGUGGGUUCAACCCAAACGUCGAGACCCAGCAAGCAAAAUGCUAGCAGCUUGCCGGCAAUAUGCCAGCAAACUCGAGCAUGAUAUCGCAGCAGAUUUCAAUCUGCUGCUUCCUCAUUAAGCUUAGUUUCUAACAGCAUAGAUUAUCAACAGAAAAUAUUGAUAGAAAUACAGCAAAAAUCGAAUAUCAUCUGCUACCAUAACAUGACAGCAAAUUCAUAUUCGUGCUCUCGGCAGGUUUGGCUAUCUGGGGAUACGCAGCUAAAAAAAAUAUGGGUGUAAUAUUUUUUUAUGUUCUACAACAUAUCCAAAGCUCAUUAAAAUCAGUGAGGGACAGUUCUGUCCGUUCCCUUGUUAGAAGAAUCGAUGAAUAGUUAUCAGACUUGUAACAUCCAGGUUUUAGUUUGUUCAUUAAUCCGAUAACAUCAUGACAAUAGACUAAUAAAUGUUCUUCAUCUGCAGAGAAAUAUUGCCGAUGUUCUCUUUCUCUGUCACGAUAAUAGAAAGUUUUCACAUUUUGUGUUUUAACCAGGACACCAGAAACUCUGCUCCAUCCUUGGGCAAACGAGAUCGUUCACCUUCUCUUGUGUUAUUUUUCCUGGUUUUUUUGAAAUAUUAUACGGAACAUAGUCACCAUCAGUUAAUUUACUUUCACUCUCAGUCUUGCUCUCAGUUUUACUCUCAGAUUCUUCCAAACUUCCGUCAAUUUCCAUUCCAUUGAGUUCAGAAGUAAUACUUGUAUCCAUGACUUCAUUGUUUGUUUUGUCGGAUGCUGAUACAUAUAUAGAUUUCGUUAAACUCGUAACAUUGGCGUAGUAUAAUGCCGAUUUUUUGUGUUGUUUAUUCCAUUCAGACUUGUCAUACAGAAAUAGCAAUCUUCUCUGGUCAUGGUUUUUUCAUGCCAUAUGGCAGGUCUUCUUAUUCUCAGUUUUGUCUUGUUUUUUUCUAACUUUGCAACAUUUUAUAACAAGAACUACAUAUUUUCUUGGGGACCUAAUCGGAUUCUUGGUUUGCGAUUUCGAUACAGAACGAAUUUUUGUAGAGAUCUUUGUUUUUGUCAUUAAUGUUUCUCCGGUUUUGUGGUAUCUCAUAUCGGAGGUUAGGAAAAAAUGAGCCAAUUCAGCAAUUCUGACCUUGAAUUUAGAUUCAGCGGGUCAAAAUACAUAAGAAUAGACUAGUCGAGUCCGCCAGACCACCAUUAAAAAAAAUUUUUUUUGAGGUUAGGAAAUACAAGCUAACUUUGCAAUUCUGAUCUUGGAUUUGGAUUUAGCGGGUCAAAAUACAUCAGGAUUGACUAGUUUGGUCCGCCGGACCAACCACUUUUUUUGUGUGCCUGUGUAUUACUAUCUUUCACACACGUUAACCGUGUUAACACUAUUAAUGUUAAAUAUUACAUUCUAUUACAAUUAAAAAUUUACAUAAAUUUAAUCAUUAAUAAUUAUAUAAUUUUCCAAUUACAACAGUGGAGCGAUUUAUUUGUAAACACUGCAGUGCAUAUAUUAUUUCAGCUUCUAUUAUUAACUAAAUGUUAAACAAAUAAAAUAAUUUAUUGUAAA